rnacentral:misc_RNA from 1 species
AUUUAUUUAUUUAUUUUUUUACUUUCUUUGAUAGAAAUUCUGGCCUAAUAUGGCUUUUGUACCUGUCUUUUUAGUUAGUUCUCUUAGAUUGGAAGAAGAAUUCUUUUUAUAGUUUAGCUUAACAAAAUGAUUUUCAAGCAACCAUAAAUAUCAUAAAUAUCAAGAUAGGCUUUUGUGAUACCACCAGUUUAUAAAUGGUAGAGAACCUUUAAACGAAUCUACUCAGACAUCAACGAAUUCUCAUUCAGUAUCUAUGUAUGUAAAGGUAUAUGUAAAAAAUAUAAAUUUUAUUCUCCAAAUCCUUGUAAGGAUAUUUCUUUUCUUCUUGCAAUUUUAUUGAGUAUAAAUGUUUGAACAAGUUAAUGUUCUUUAUUUUAUAGUUGUAUCCCUAUCUGUACUCUAGUUAUAUGAAUGAAAUCUUUCGAAGAAAAGAAAAAACUAUAAAGGAGAGAGAGAGAGAGAGA